rnacentral:lncRNA from 1 species
AAUGCACUUUCUAAUGAUACAUAAGCAAGGUAUUUCGGGCCCUUUAUAGGGAAGGCAUAUCAUAUAGAAUUCUAAUUCUCAUAUAUCAUAUCGGGUAGGUUGUGUUAUUUCAUUGCUACAAACAUGGGUUAUUGUAAAAUAAGACAUGUCAUUUAGAGACUUCUCUUCAACUCUGAACUAUUUUGAUACAAAUAAUACAAAUAGUUGAAGUGAAUUUUACGAAAGAAAAUAAGGCGAAUUAUGGGAGUGUGUUACUUGAAUUAUUGAUUUGGCCCUGCAGAUAGAGAGUUGGAUCUGCCACAUUAGAAUUCACG